rnacentral:rRNA from 1 species
UAGGGAAUCUUCGGCAAUGGGGGGAACCCUGACCGAGCAACGCCGCGUGAGUGAAGAAGGUUUUCGGAUCGUAAAGCUCUGUUGUUAAGGAAGAACGAGUGUGAGAAUGGAAAGUUCAUGCUGUGACGGUACUUAACCAGAAAGGGACGGCUAACUACGUGCCAGCAGCCGCGGUAAUACGUAGGUCCCGAGCGUUGUCCGGAUUUAUUGGGCGUAAAGCGAGCGCAGGCGGUUAGAAAAGUCUGAAGUGAAAGGCAGUGGCUCAACCAUUGUAGGCUUUGGAAACUGUUUAACUUGAGUGCAGAAGGGGAGAGUGGAAUUCCAUGUGUAGCGGUGAAAUGCGUAGAUAUAUGGAGGAACACCGGUGGCGAAAGCGGCUCUCUGGUCUGUAACUGACGCGGAGGCUCGAAAGCGUGGGGAGAGAACAGG